UAAUAAAAAAAAUGCUCAUGAAAACUAGCUAAAGUCUGAAAGAGAGAGCGAGUGAGAAGGAGAUACCAAUUGGAAGGGGGCGACUGGCGAGUUGGUGGCAUGUGUGGGCGGCAUACAACCGAGUGGGAAGUGGCAAGUGGCUGGCUGUGUGGCAACUACUAAUAAACAGACCCCAUAUGUGCUUGGCCCUGAGUCGACGAGCUAACCCGGGGACCUGCAAUUGCUUUGAUUGCCCACAACACGCCGCCAAGAACUGGACAAGAAAAUCAGCAGCAAAAACUGUGGGCGUAGUUUCAAAGAGGGGACAUUGGGCUGUGACAGGGGCGUCACUGACUGUUGGAAAAGGGAUAAGAUAUCUUCGAAUCUAUCUUAUGUAUGUCGAUAACUAUUAAAUAUAUAGAUUAAA